rnacentral:rRNA from 1 species
UGGGGAAUAUUGGACAAUGGGGGGAACCCUGAUCCAGCCAUGCCGCGUGUGUGAAGAAGGCCUUAUGGUUGUAAAGCACUUUAAGCGAGGAGGAGGGUACUGGUAUUAAUACUACCAGGUACUGGACGUUACUCGCAGAAUAAGCACCGGCUAACUCUGUGCCAGCAGCCGCGGUAAUACAGAGGGUGCGAGCGUUAAUCGGAUUUACUGGGCGUAAAGCGUGCGUAGGCGGCUAAUUGAGUCGGAUGUGAAAUCCACGAGCUUAACUUGGGAAUUGCAUUCGAUACUGGUUAGCUAGAGUGUGGGAGAGGAUGGUAGAAUUCCAGGUGUAGCGGUGAAAUGCGUAGAGAUCUGGAGGAAUACCGAUGGCGAAGGCAGCCAUCUGGCCUAACACUGACGCUGAGGUACGAAAGCAUGGGGAGCAAACAGG